GAUCACCUAGCUCAACUGGCCAGAGCGACUAACAAUCUGUAGGUCGCGGGUUCGAAACCCGCCGGUCAUCG
rnacentral:tRNA from 1 species